ACUCCUGUAGUUUAAUGGUAAAACAGCAGGCUUAUACCCUGUAUUAGCUCUAGAUUGGGGCAAGUUCUUGGUUCGAAUCCAAGUGGGAGUA
rnacentral:tRNA from 1 species